rnacentral:rRNA from 1 species
AUGCGCGGCGGCGGGCUGCUCCGGGCCCUGGCGGGCAGGUUGCGCGCGGCCCUCGUCGGCCGCAUCCGCUACGGUGGUGGCCGGGCCGGCGGCGGAGGUGGCGGCCCGGCUGCGAGGGGAGGCCACGUGGUGAGGACCGAUGGAUCCACCGGCCGCGGCUCAUACAAGGGGGGAGGCUCUUACGGCGGGAGGACCGGCGAGGGCGGGCAGGGCUCGUACCAGGCGGGAGGCUCUUGCGGCGGGAGGACCGGCGAGGGCGGGCAGGGCUCAUACCACGGGGAAGGCUCAUAUGGCGGGAGGUCCGGGGGAGACGGCGCCGGGCAUGGGCAUGGGCAUGGAGGGAGCGCACGUGGUGGGCGCGGCGAGCGCGGGUCGGAGCAUGAGCAGGCCAACGGUUUCUGGGGAGGCCUUCGGCGCCGCCUGAAGAAGACGCUUGAUGAGCGUGACCUGCUGGAGGACCUCGAGGAGCUGCAUUACCAAGUAGAGCGAGUCGAAAGGCUCCAGAACCUACCGGAGAGGAUCGCAGAAAUUGGGCAGAAGUUCCAUGAUCACUGGGUUACGGUCAGCCUUGCCUUCAGCACAAUGUAUGCUACUGUAUCAGGGAAGGUUCAGGACCGGGCUGUUUCAGUGAAGGCCAAGAUGAUUGACCAGGCUGUUUCAGUGAAGGCCAAGAUGAUAGGAGUGAAGGAUAAACUGAAGGAAAGGCUCUCUCCGCAGAAGGUCAGACCGAACGAAGAUCAGCUCGAAGAUGAACCUAUUGCCAUUCCAUUGGCAACAGAUUUCUCUCCGUGA